rnacentral:rRNA from 1 species
AGCGAACGCUGGCGGCAGGCCUAACACAUGCAAGUCGAACGAACUCUUCGGACUUAGUUGCGGACGUGUGAGUAACACGUGGGAACUUGCCUUUUGGUUCGGUAUAACUCAGGUAAACUUGUCCUAAUACCGAAUGUGCUCUUCCGGGGUACGAUGUUUGGCGAUUGGCUCGGCGCUGGUCUGAUUGGUCGGUUGGGGAUGUAAUGGCUCACCAAGGGCUGGUUCGUUAGCUGGUCUGUGAGGAUGACAAGCUCCGCUGGGGCUGAGACACGGACCAGACUGCUACGCGAGGGAGCAGUAGGGUAUCUAGCGGAAUGGGCGAAAGCCUGACGAAGCCAUGCGGCGUGAAUGAUGAAGGUCUUAGGAUUGUAAAAUUGUUUCAGCGGAGACGAUAAUGACGGUACCCGGAGAAGAAGCCCCGGCUAACUUCGUG